rnacentral:lncRNA from 1 species
GAUAUUAAAAACACCAACUCGAAAUUCAAAGCAAGUAACUUGAAAAUAAAUAAAUACAUAAUGGGAAAAAUAUCAUUAAAUAACACACGAAUAACAAGUAAUAGGAUUUUAAUCUUCUUGCUAGGAGAGGCUACUUCUUCAGCACUAAAGGUGACUCACAAGCAGCAUCAUUCUGGGAAAGUUAAAAGUGGGAAUUCAACAAGACUCAAGGAUUGUGUGGGACUCAAAGGGAUGAAACAGCCUUGCAGGAGGCUCUCCUUCCUCCAUCUCCUAGUGAUGAGUGAAACUGGAAAGCAACAUCAGUUCAGAGCUGCUGAGAAAUAAAAGAUGAUCACAUCUUCAUGAGCACCCCAGGUUUUCUCAGACCCUCUGUCCCAACAGGGCUGUUGGCAGCAUGAGCAGAUACCCCUCCCCUGGAACAACCCUGUUCUGUGGGAUUGGGAUCCAGCUUGAAGGUCACCAAGCCCUCAGACCAACAGAGGUCAUCAAGACUCUUCAUCCAGCAUGCAAAAGAAGGAUUUCCCCCUCCUUCAGGCCUCCUUAUCACUUGCUCAGAGGCUCAGGAGACAGAAGGAAGGGACAGUCAAGAGAAAUGAUGAGCCUAGAGAAUAAAUCUGAACAGCAGCCCUUGGUGAAAAAGGAGGUGACAAAAGACUCUGCUCAGCUGCCCAAAUGGAUUGCACUGUUUGAGACAUCUUAAAGUAUCCAAGACACCAGGCAUGGCUGGAAGAAGUGACAAGAGACCUGUAGAAAACCAUAUUCUCCCAGCAAGGCAGAUCUCCAGAGUGCCUCAAAUGACCCCUAGGAGGUUUAACCCUCUCACACCAAGUGAUAUCCCAGCUUUGUUUUGCUCUUCCUUGAGUCCCUUAAAGGUUUCACCAAUGGGUUUCUUCCCAACUUUGUAGACAUGACAUAACUCUUUCUCUUCAUCUCAGCAUCCACCUUUUGAUUCCUCUCCUCACAGGAAGUGUGUGGAGUGACCCCAGCCUUUGCUCCCACUGUCCAAACUGUUUUGGAAUGGUGGGAGACAGCCAACUUUUCCGGGGUCCGUGUGAAAGAAGCUAAAUGGGAGCAUGAAGGUGGUAAUGGAGUGGAAGCAGAGCAAGGAAAACCUCACUGAUGGAUUAUUAGGCACUGUCAAAGUUUCAGCAGAGUGGAAAACUUGGAGGCAGGAGUAGUAACCCAUGAAAAAUCACCUCUUCCUUUUCCUGUUCAUGGCAGGGCAGCGUGUCCAGAUCAAAGCCACCCGUCACUGCUCGGCCUCAGUCACACAAUUUACGAGGCACUGGGGCACCA